rnacentral:lncRNA from 1 species
AAUCAUACACCUUCCUGGCAUUGUUCCUUUUCUCUAUAAACCCUUAUUUUCAUCCUUCUUUACAUUUACUUUUAUUAUUAUAUUUUACACUCAAAACCAAAUUAAUACUUUUUGUUUAAUGUGAAUGAUAAUUUAACUCAAUAUUAACGUGCAGUCCUUGAGAUCGACAUUCGGGGAAUUUCCCCAUUAUUACUAUAAAAGGCAAAAUAGUACACUUGCUAUUUUCCCGAUCAACAAGGAUGAGUCACAUUCUG